rnacentral:rRNA from 1 species
UGGGGAAUAUUGCGCAAUGGGCGAAAGCCUGACGCAGCGACGCCGCGUGAGGGAAGAAGGUUUUCGGAUCAUAAACUUCUAUCCUUGGUGAAGAUAAUGACGGUAGCCAAGAAGGAGGCCCCGGCUAACUACGUGCCAGCAGCCGCGGUAAUACGUAGGGGGCAAGCGUUGUCCGGAAUGAUUGGGCGUAAAGGGCGCGUAGGCGGCCUGGUAAGUCUGGAGUGAAAGUCCUGCUUUUAAGGUGGGAAUUGCUUUGGAUACUGUCGGGCUUGAGUGCAGGAGAGGUAAGUGGAAUUCCCGGUGUAGCGGUGAAAUGCGUAGAGAUCGGGAGGAACACCAGUGGCGAAGGCGACUUACUGGACUGUAACUGACACUGAGACGCGAAAGCCAGGGUAGCAAACG